rnacentral:lncRNA from 1 species
UGGAGUCACAAUAGAAUACUUUUAUCUUUUGUCUCUAAAUGUGCAAGGACCUUUUUCUCAGGUUCCACGUGCCUUGUUCUUAAGGAGUGACUCACUAUGGCCUAAAAAGCAAUGGAAAUCUUCCCAACUGGGGAAAAGUGUGUGGAAGUGGAUCAAAGGCCCAGGUGAGCCUCUGUGACUGAAAUCUUCUGCAAUGAGGGACUGGAGGAGACCUCCGUUCAAGGCACACAGCAAGUGAUUCUCAGGGAGUUUCCCCUUAUCCCGGCUCCAUUGGGACCAGCCACAACUUCCUUGGAGUAUGGAUCAUGAAGUACCAAGUGGUGGAACAUGAGGGCAUGCAAACGUUUGUGGAUGGUAGCAGUUUGGUGUGAGAUUGCUUAAAAGGCCAGGUAAAGCUACAUGCUGAAGAAAAAAUUAGUCCUCAUGAAGUUGUGUAUGGAAGACCACUUCAGGUUCAUGGCACAGGUGGUACUAACACCUCUGGAAGUCACAAUACAUCUGUCCAAACUGAUGAGUGGAUGUAUCUAUGGACUCGGAGCUCUGAAGCACUACAGGAGAAGUGGAAAGGACUGUAUCAAAUACUACUGACAACAGAAGCUGCUACCAAGGUGUUAGGAGUAGACUCUUGAAUUCAUUACACAAGAAUAAAAAGCACCUAGCCCACA